CUGCUAGUGAGAAAUGAUCCUUAUCCAUUAACUAUAUUAUAAUUCAUUAGGAAGCUUCAACAGCACAAUGGAAAUUAUUUAAAGUUAAAAGCAGUCAAGCUGCAUUUCAAAAUAUUUGUUAGAUAUUUCCAGUGUUCAUUCAAGUCCUCCCUCACCCUUCUGAAUUAGCUAUUGCCAGUCACAGAAGUUAUUUUCCCAUACUUUAUCAUGCCCAUCUCCAUUCAUCAGAGUAUAUUUUGCCAUACUACCUUGAGUAGUUGACUGCUUAGCUUUUCCAAGUAGGUGCUCAGAAGUAACAUUUUAGCUUAUGAAAAUGUAUAUCCUUGAGUAAAACUUUUCUUAUUGAAUAAGAUCAGGGUAAUUAAAAACAUACCCAAAGUUGGUGCCUGUGGCCAGGAGGACUCAGUUUGAAAAAUGCACCAUAGAAAGACACAAUGUUUUUGUGGAAAGAGUACUUCCUCAGAAGGUUGAGUUCAGUCCUGAGAUCCUCUUCCUCAUCCUAUAGAAUAAAAAGAGUCAACUAAGCUUCAAAGCUAUGCAAUCCAAUAACUAUUGAUCUCUAUAGGAGAUUCACAAUCGAAAAUCCUAUGCAACCAAUUUAUCCUACAUAAUAAAAUCUCAGCUAGAAUUAUCAGUGAAUGGAGAUAUCUGGUUAACUUGAAAUUUGAGAGAAAAAGGGUAAGUCCAUGAUCUCUUAUCAAUUCAGCAGUUCUCAGUGUUCCAUGGCCCAUCAGCACUGACCAUUAUAUAAAGUUUUCAUUGAAUGGAAUGAUACAUUUUAGUUUCUUUUUAAAUAGUUUUAUUGAGAUACAAUUCAUGCGCCCUACUGUUUACUCAUUUAAAGUAUAAAAUUCUGUGAUUUUUAGUAUAUUUACAGAGUUGUACAAUCAUCACACUCAAUUUUAGAACAUUUUUAUCACACUGAAAUUACAUACAUUUUAGGUAUCACCCCCAAAUUCUACCCAACACAUACCUUAGUUCUAAUCAACCACCAAUCUACUUUCUGUUUAUAUACUGGAUAUUUCAUAUAAAUGAAACCAUAUAAUAUGUGGUCUUUUAUGACUAGGCUUUUUAUAAAGUUUGUCCAUGUUGUACCAGGUAUUAGUAUUCCAUUCCUAUGGGUUUAUCAUUCAUUAAUUGUUAG
rnacentral:lncRNA from 1 species